CCCUUAGAUGUCCGGGGCUGCACGCGCGCUACACUGAAGGAAUCAGCGUGCUAAAACCAUUGUCGAAAGGCAUUGGUAAACCCAUUAAAAUCCUACGUGAUUGGGAUCGGGAAUUGCAAUUAUUUCCCUUGAACGAGGAAUUCCCAGUAAGUGUGGGUCAUAAGCUCGCGUUGAUUACGUCCUUGCCCUUUGUACACACCGCCCGUCGCUGCCCGGGACUGAGCCGUUUCGAGAAAAGCGGGGACUGCUGCUGUCGGGGCUUUCGGGCCUUGGCUUCGGUGGAAACCGCUUUAAUCGCAGUGGCUUGAACCGGGCAAAAGUCGUAACA
rnacentral:rRNA from 1 species